CGUGUCCAUGGACACGAUUUUCCCCUUUUUUCGUGCCAGUCAGAACGACUUUCAAUCUAAUGUAUUUCAAUAGGAAGUAUUUUUCGUGCCUGCACCACGUUUUUUUGUCCUAUUAUUUUUUUCGUGUUUAUAAGCACGAAUUUAAUCUAAUGUAUUGCAAUAGUAUAUACCAGGGAUUGUUUUACUUUAUUUGUCAUUAAUUGAUUACACUUUAAGCGCUACUUUACUCAAAAUUUAAUCAGGAGAUGUUUAUCCUAUAAUAUUGAUGUUUCGAUCGGUUUCGUGUUUCAAAUACAAGAGUAAAUACUACACUACCCAUGAGCCUUAUCGACAUCUACUAUGGUGAAGGCACCAGCUAAAACUACAUGUGGGCCCGCUGCAGAUCACAAUAUUUUCUCAACACAUGAACACUAACGUGUGCUUGAUAAUUCAACAAUACGAUGUUAUGGCCAUCAAUUUUGAUUGUUUCUACUUUGAUUGUAAAAAAAUAAGUCAGUUUCGGACGCCUGCAUUUCCCAGAAUCCUCUCUGCCUCCGUUGCUAUGGAAUCUGAGCCAGUCCUCUUUGCUAUUGGGUGAUUUCUUCUUCGGUACUCGUGACAGGGAUUCUCUCAUACGCGAAAAUCAUUGUCCAGAUCCUGUCAUUCGAAUCACCUGUCACAACUUAGAUUUAACGUUGCUUAUUUUAUAAACCCAAAGGCACUUUUAAAAGCCAUCAUUUACUACACAAAGCCAUAGUUCACUGACAAGCUGGGCCAUAUCGCAGGCGAUAAUUAAUGCGAAAUUGCCCUGGUUGUCAGUGAACUAUGGCUUUGUGUAGUAAAUGCUGCUCCAUCUGAAAGCAGGUGAUGUUGGUGUACUACUAAUCAAAGAACCGGCUUUACUGACGAGAUGCGCAUGAAAAUCACAUGUGAUUUAUCGUGCAGCCGUACUUGAAAAACUCCAUGCUACUGGAUACAAGCCAGUUCUGCUUCGUGAAAAGGAGACCAAGAAGCAAAAUAUUAAGUGUGAGAGAUUAUCGCCUAUGCCCAGGACUACCUUCAGAAGAUCGGUUCCUUUUAUGAAUACCUUUGUGAAGGCUCGCAGCACUACCCUUGUAACGACUGAACAAUCAUCUGGGAUGUCCACAUAGAGAGAGAGAGGUUGGACCCAGGAUUCCAGUGGCAUUAUGAUCAGCUGGUUACACUGCACCUCACACCCUGUGACCCACUGGAGAAUCCAAACAACUGGAAGAGAUGACAAACAUGGUGGAGCAGGCGACCACUACAGAGGGACAUGUGGAGGCAGCGAACACUAUGGAAGGGCAGCUGGAGCAGGCGAGCACUACAAAGGGCCAAGGUGUCUACACAUGGUCAGCCACAGUCACAAAUCUUGCACUCUGUCGCAAAAAGAAAAAGCCAGGUGGACCAAAGCUUAUACCUGAUAAGAAAAAAGCUUAAAAGGAGGCAAAGCAGACAUUUUGGUGGACUGGGAGCCCUGUCCAGUAUGUGAUGAGAUUUGGACCCAUCCCUGGCAGCCAAAGGAUUCUCUCCAAAUUAAUUAAAUAAAAAUUGUAUUACAC